rnacentral:rRNA from 1 species
UACGUAGGGUGCGAGCGUUGUCCGGAAUUAUUGGGCGUAAAGGGCUCGUAGGCGGUCCAUCGCGUCGGGAGUGAAAAGCUGGGGCUUAACCCCAGUCCUGCUUUCGAUACGGGUGGACUAGAGGUAGGCAGGGGAGAAUGGAAUUCCUGGUGUAGCGGUGAAAUGCGUAGAUAUCGUUUGGAACGCCAAUGGUGAAAACAGGUCGCUGGGGAUGAGCUGACGCUGAGACACGAAAGCCAGGGGAGCAAACGGG